CCGCGGCCCGGGCCCUCCCCGGGAGCCCGGUCUGGCGCCGACUUUCCCGUCAGGCGAAGGCCUAGACACCUGCGCCCUUAAAGGAGCCGCGUCCCCAAUUUGAGGGAGCGUCUAGAAACUCCUCCUCGGGAAGCGCGCGUCCACCCGAGGACACGCCAGCAAGCAAGGGGGGAAAUGGGAGACAGAGAUCGCCAAGAGCUCCCCGGAUGCCCGGCGGAUACCUCUCCGGGCAUAUAUCCUGGGGGUCUCCUUGGGGUCAAGGUCCGGCGCUGGCGGGCAGAGACCACUGAGGCCUAAGGAACCCCCAAGCGUCGCAGGACGGUGACGAUCCCCCGAAUACAGAGCCCUGUGAAACCUCUUGCGAUUGGCCAGUUCGAGACCCUGGCCGGGGCGUCCCUGGAAUCUUCCCAAUGAGCUGAGGCCGUACAGAAAGCCGAAUGCUUGGAGGAUCGACGGGAGGCCUUUCUCUCCUCCUUUCCGUUCCUUCCUUCCCUCAUUUUUCUCUGCCCUUCUUCCCUUUUUCUUUCCACCCCCAGUCGUCCUUCUUCCUUCCUCCAGAGUCCCCUGGCUGAGGUUGUCGGGUCCCUGAAGUCUGUGGUCCACCUUCCUAUCCCCUACAGCGCCCUCAGUGGGUGCUCCGGAUGAACCCCAUGCACUCCAUCCAUCCUAUUGCUCUGAGGAAGUAAAUGUGACUGGAGAGAAGUCCUAAUCCAGUGUGACUGGUGUCUUUAUAAAAGACAAGAGACACAGAGGGAAGAUGGCUAUGUGAUCUGAGGGGCAGAGACUGGAGUGAUGCAUCCACAAGCCAAGGAGUGCCUGGGGACACCAGAAGCUGGAAGAUGCAAGGAAGCAUCCUCCCCUAGAGCAUUCAGAGGGAGCAUGGCCUGUGGACACCUGAAUUUAAACUUCUAGCCAAACAAGAAAUUUCUGUUGUUUUAAGCCACGAAAUUUGUGGUACUUUGCUACCAAAGCCCCAGGAGACUAAUGUCACUUGUCUUUAAAGUCCAUCCUGACUCAUAGUGACCCUAUAUGACAGGACAGAGCUGCCCCAUAGGGUAAUUUCUACCAGGAGCAGAUUGCCAAAUCGUUAAUCCCAUAGAGCUGCUAGUGGGUUUGAACCUCGGACCUUUCUGUUAGCAGCUGCUUAACUCUUGUCAUCAAGGCUCCUUAAGAGACUAGUACAGCCAGUUAAAUUAGAAUUUCAGAUGCUGAAACCCACUGCCAUUGAGUUAAUUCUGACCCAUCUUGUUGAGGGUCUUUCUCUUUUUCACCAACUCUCUACCAAGGAUGAUGUUCUUCUCCAAGGACUGAUCCUUCCUGAUAACAUGUCCAAAGUAUGUGAGUUGAAGUCUUGCCAUUCUUCUAAGGAAUAUUCUGGCUGUACUUCUUCCAAGACAGAUUUGUUCGUUCUUCUGGCAGUCCAUGGUAUAUUCAACAUUCUUCGCCAACACCAUAAUUCAAAGGCAUCAAUUCUUUGGUCUUCCUUAUUCAUUGCCUAGGUUUCGCAUGCAUAUGAGUCGAUUGAAAACACCAUGGCUUGGGUCAGACACACCUUAGUCCUUAAAGUGACAUCUUUGCUUUUUAACACUCUGAAGAGGUCUUGUGCAGCAGAUUUGCCCAAUGCAAUGCAUCUUUUGAUUUCUUGACUGCUGCCUUCAUGGGCAUUGAUUGUGGUUCCAAGUAAAAUGAAAUCCUUAAUAACUUCAAUCUUUUCUCCAUUUGUCAUAAUGUUGGUUAUUGGUCCAAUUGUGAGGAUUUUUGUUUUCUCUUACCAUUAGUAAUAUGUAUUGCAUGUAAUGUUGCUGCAUGUAAUUUGCUAAUGUUAUUGUUCUCAGAUGUUCACUCUAAAAUGUUCAGUUUUAUGAUUGACUGUUCAAAGCAAGCUAUGGCCUGGUCUACAGUGAAGUCGGUAUUGGUGUCUUGAGUCUUAAAGGAUAGAAAGCUGAGGAAUGUUCAGCUCUAAGGACACACACAAUUGAGCUGCGUUAGCGCCUGACAGCGGUUACAACUCUAGCUUCAUUGUUCUUACUCUGAUGCUGACUUCAUUGUAGACCAGGCCUAUGGUGUGAUCUUAUUCAGCAUCUGGUACCAUAAGAAGCAUCAGUUGUUAAUCUGAAGUUGAGUUGUUCAAGUUUCUCUAACUCACACUUGUACUGCUUAUACCCCCAACAAUAUGCCUAGUAAAAGAAGUCAAGCCGCUGAAAGUUCUAAUCCAAAAAAGAAGGUGAGGAAGGUUCUAGACAUGGAUAUAAAAAUGAAGAUCGUUAAGGCCUGUCCUAUAAUAAUGAGGAAGUUGUCAAAAAAUUUUACAGUGAAAGGAUUAGCUGACUUGUUUUCUGAACUAAAUCAUGGUCUUCAGUUGCUUGACAACAUG